rnacentral:lncRNA from 1 species
CAAAGAUCUCAACUGCUCACUGCCCAGACACCAAGGACAGAUGCCAACAAGGAUUUUCUCUGCUCAUUCCAGUGUAUGUAUGGUGGAGAUGUUUGCUCCUACUUCUCUCUUCCAAAUCUGAAUGGCUACAGAGGGUUAAAAAGGCAGAGACGGCCGGCCAGCGGCACUCACUCAGGCCUUCCUGAGAGGCAGAAGUCAAGGCUGGUAGGCAUGAUAAGAACCUCUGUGGGAGUUAGAGGAGGAACUAGACUGGAGGACUCCUGGAGACACAGCGGCAGAAUCAAGCCAGGAGGCCACAGAAAAUGAAAAGCUAUGGAUUCCUUCCAGACUAAUAUGGUUUGAUGAAGCAAGAUCCCCGGAAGCAGUGACCCAACUGAUCCUACAUUCAAAACAGCUGAGAUGAUGCAGCCUUACACACUACAAAAACAAGGACUUGGUCAGGUUUCUGUUUUAUCAUGAUCCCCAUGGUAUAUGAACAUCGCCCCCAAUCAGCAGGAAGCAGUUUAGAAGAAACGAUGCCCAAAUCCCCAAUAUUGUUUAUAAAUGUUUGUUUUCAUUUAAAUGGGAUUAGUUAUAAAUGAUAAUGAGCACAAUCUCUUUUUAAAGAAAGAAAGGGGAUAAGAUAUAGGAAUGAAUACUUUGCAUUGGUAUAGAUUUUCAUUUAUUGAUACAACUUUAAGGUCAAUUUUGUGAUUGUAUAUGUCUCCUCUUGUUUAGGUAUUGUGUUUAUACAGAUCUUUUACCUAUAAUAGUCAGAACUUAUAAUUAGGUUAGUUAGGUUUUCUAGAUUUACAGAGAUGUAUUUGAGAUGGUUAGGUAUUCUUCAAACCUUUCAAAAACCUACAGAGAUAUGGCAUUUAAAUGGUUUAGGGUUUUUCUUGGCAGUGAUACACACUGCUCCUGGCACACCAAUUACGUCAGAAAGCAGGAUGGGCAUUGAAGAAACUCGUUAUGGAGUUUGCUUUCAACAUGGCAAGAUUAGCCAUUUGGACAAGAAACUGCUCUUGCCUGGACUGUUUGUUGCUGUAUAAACUGGACAUGCAGGACCCACAAGAAAGUGACUGCUGAACUUACAAAACAAGACAGUACUGAAGGGUUCCUGUUGAAAUGGAGAAGUGUGCCAGACACACUGGCCUAUAGGCUGAAGAUGCCCCAACGUUACAGAGGAACUUUGGGUGACUGUCCAGGUAG